UGUUUAGGUUCUGUAAGCGCCCCUUUUCCCGGUCUCUGACAUGGAUUGGCAUUCAAUAAGAUGGGGUCGAGGGAUAUUAUUACCUUUGUGGUUCCAACACCUUGAUUUCCUUUUAAAGACUCAACACACCAAAACAGUAGCCAUCUUUACCUUGAAGUUGUACCUCUUAACACAAGCUUUCGGUAGAAACUCCACAAUAGUAAAUGCUGUUAAAUGGCGGUGAAGAAGUGGAAGCUGGCACUAUAAUGGGAAAAGCAAAUCAGACACAGAGGAUUGAUGAUAUUUGGAGUAACUUAGAGCAAAAAGUCUUUAUGAUUCAUAAACCCUAAUUAUAGAAGGAAAAAAAAGGGAAAAUGUAAAGUAGUUGCAAGUAAUUAAUUGGUUGUCUAUGAUGUCGCUUAGACUUGUUCUUUAUUCAACUAGUCACUUCUCUGCAAA